ACACACACACGCACGCUUGCUCACACACACACACACACACACACACACACACACACACGCUCUGCCUCUCUGACACAGACUCUCUACUUAGUGCGUUGGAGAGAGGACUGAGGCUCACACUAUCAGCACAGCUUCUCAAUGGGGGGACGCAGCCAAGAGCAGACAGAGCAGUCAUUCCACUGGAGCCUUCCGCUGCACGCGUGAGAAGGAGACGACAAGUGAGGAGGGUAAAUUCAUCACAACAUAGGAGUUCUACUGACGGAGAAGAGAGACAGUCUGAAGGAAGGAGAGGACAAGAGAUUUGCUUGUAUGUGGCUGAUACAGCAGUGACAUGAUCAGCUUUCCAUCCCUCAGAUCCUGGCCAGUUUGUGACUUAGACCCCUGGGUGUUUUGCUUUUGGUGACUGUGUUGUCACGGAUUUCAAAAGGAACUGAGCAGCGGGGGUCCAGAGGAGAGAAUACUGAGGAAAAAGAACAGCAUUUUAGCCCCUUUUGUGUGGUGUUCGGCUUACCUGGUACUGGAAUUUCGGACGGGAAUCCUUGGCUUCAAAGUAUGGAUGGAUUUAAAGCAGAGGAGUGAGUCUGCUGGGCAGGCAGGCAGUGAUUCUGACUGAGCUCCUUUCCUCCUGAACGCACUGUUCAGACUCGGCCUUACCAUGUCCUGGUUGUUGGCCAUGUGGAUUAGCCUCGGCUUCCUGCUGUUGUGCCAGGCCACACUCUACCAGACCAUCCAGCAGCACCAUGUGGCCCGGCCCGGUCGCACCGACAUUCUCACCCUGGAGGGAGGUACGUGUGAGGUGAUUGCCGCCCACCGAUGCUGUAACAAGAAUCGUAUUGAGGAGCGUUCUCAGACAGUCAAGUGCUCCUGUUUACCGGGGAAAGUGGCCGGGACGACACGCAACAAACCCUCCUGUGUGGAUGCGUCCAUUGUAAUCGGGAAAUGGUGGUGUGAGAUGGAACCAUGUCUGGAGGGAGAAGAGUGUAAGACUCUGCCUGACAACUCUGGAUGGAUGUGCUCCUCUGGGAACAAAAUCAAGACCACAAGAGUGAGACCUCAAACAUAUUCACACACACUUAAGCACAAAUGCAUCUACCUGCAUGUACAGACCUACACUCACAAUGCACACGUUCAUGUACAACACAUGAAGCAUAUGCCUGUUGUAUAUGUACUGUAUAUGCACAUUUAACCCAGGCAUACACACAUUUGUACACAUAUAACAAGAAACUGUGUUUGAAUACUUGGAUUAAAUGCUUUAACAAAGCUUCUCUUCCAACUGCCGGCUUCGUUUUUUAAUUGAUCUUCUGUCAUUUAAAAAUCAAAGAUGCACAGUGUCAAACCCGCAGGUCAAAAGGAUGUGCACAAAUCACACUGUAUAGAGAAUACUCAGAAAGCACAGCACAUCUGUGCCCUUUGUAUAACAAGGUGGAUUCUGUUCGUGUAAGCAACCAAGCCCAUAGUAGUAAAGAACAAACAUAAAGCAGGCAGUAAACAAACAGGUGGGCUCUGCCUCAGGCCACACUCCUCUCAGAGAUAAAGUUAACAGCCACUCUGCUUCUCCACUGCCUUUCAGCUCUGUAAACUGACUCCGAAUGCGGCAUGCAAAAAUAAUGAAGGGAGUUAAGUCCUCAAAGCCAGUAGUCCAGCACUCUGUGACAGCUUGAUCACCCGAUUUGUAUUCAUUUAAUUGACAGCCCCCCACAAACCCCCGCUCGCGAUCAGCAAACCCCGUCUUCUCUUAGUGCUUGGUGACAAUGACUUUGAAUAGAAGCAGAGACUAAUGUGAUGGUAGGGAGGAAACAGGGAACAGCCAGUGAAGGUUAGACCACGCAGAGCUUCCCAAGGUUGUUCUGCAGAUUUUUAUGCCAGCAGAUAGACAUAAAGCUUUCACUGGGCCCCUUCACAGCCACCACAGGCCCAACAUUUUCAGAAAGAAGUUGACCGAAUGGGGUCUUGCCAUCCUGUCAAGGUAAGGUGUAGUAUUUGAUUCACUCUAAAGAAUGCAUCUCUAAUUCUCAGUUCAGUCCUUUGCACAAUUUGAAUUAAGUAAACUUGAAAUCAUGAUUGUCUUUACAUAACUUGGGACAAUUCAUUUUCUUUAUUCUCUUGAGAUACAUUAAUCAAGAUUGUACAUGUCUGCACACAAAUGGAGAAAGAACAUUAAUACAUAUGUAUGAGUAAAAUGGCUUUGGUCUAAUAUUAUCAAAACCUUAAGAGAAGAGGGCCAAAAGGUCAGGCCUGAAGCUGCUUUUCUACCCAAUACACACGUGUCCUUUUUUCUUGACCCUCUCUUUGCAGAACACCCAGCCAUACUCCCCUUUUUAGCUUCCGGAAGCAAAAUGCAGAGGAUGCGUCAACAGAAAUUGAGCUGCAUUCUUGCUUCUGUAAAGAUUCAUCCCAGGACCUAACAGAGAGCUCCCAUUGCAGGGCUGCGUGCCAGGCUCUUCCCCUCAUCCACCCUUUCUCUUCCCACCGAACGGACUAAAACUAUUACAUCCACGGCUACUGACUGGAUUACCUGGGACCACAGAAAGAAUAUCCACCCAGAUAAAACAGCUUUGCUCACGUGGUGCCAAGGAUUUGAAACCAGACUAAUCCUCUGUUUGAUCAAUGAGCCCCAUGUUGGUGACUCUCCUCUUCCACACAGCUGUGGCCAGUUUCCGACCUACUCUCUCUCUCUGUUUCCCUCACUCUCUCCCCCCUCAAAAACUGAAACAGCUAAGAAGGGGUUAUUUAGAGGUUGUUAAAACAUUAUUUGAUAGAUACUCGCCCCGCCUGAAGGUAAACCAGUUGAGGAGCUUACAUGGACCUGAACAUGAACACAGAACUGAAGGCACAAGGAGGGAAAGACCUUGAUAUGUUAUUUCUGUGUGGAAGGCAUUUGUAUUUGACCCACUACCCCAACAGGACGGCCUUGUUGUGACUACCCGGAGGAGAUUUGGUUGAAAAACACUGGAUUUUUUUAGUGACAAAGACCACUAGCACCCUAUAAUGAGUUAAUGAAGAAUCUUUGAGAGGCUUUAGGGUCAGUCCUCAUGGCCUCACCUUCAUCCUUCAUGAUGGACAUUUUGACUUUUAUUCGAGGGCAUGUAAAUUCAUGAGCACUUCUUUUCUUUGUUAUGUAAGAUAAUUUGUGUAUAUAUACAUAUAGAAAUACAAGACAUAUAACAUGACAGAUCCAAGAAGCUGAAAAAUAUAUUUAGGACUCUAUUAGGAGCUCAAGCCCCACGGUGGAAUAUUGAUCAGCCACUGAAUAUAAGUACAGUUCAUACUUAUCCAGAGGCUGAUGUCCCAAUAUGGUGUGUAUAGGACUGCUUAACAGAGUCAUAAAAAUAAGUAUUGGUCACUUUCGUCAUUCAGCAAUGUCCUUGGUUAAGCCAGAAAAUGCUUGUAGUUUCUGUAAAGAUGAGGAAAACACUGUAUAGAACUGCCUCACAAAAUAAAGCAGGACUAACAACAACCCCUGAGCUUUCCACUCAGAUACAGUAGGGACAUGGAACAGCAGCAGAAAAACUGGGACCAUAAUCGGACAGUUAGUGUCUAUUUUUGUUGUGGAGAGUGGUCAUGGGCGACUGCUUGACUGUGUUUCUUGUGUAGAUCUCCCUCUCGCACACCAGAGAGAAAUGAUUUAUUCAAAAUAACAGUGAGAAAGUAUUAGUCACAAUGGAGAAACAUACAGUUAUCCCCAGUAGAUAUAAGUACAUUACAGGACAGCCUUAUGAGAAAUAAAAAUGUUUUUCUAUACUGAUA